AGUGAACGCUGGCGGUAGGCCUAACACAUGCAAGUCGAACGGCAGCACAGUAAGAGCUUGCUCUUACGGGUGGCGAGUGGCGGACGGGUGAGGAAUACAUCGGAAUCUACUUUUUCGUGGGGGAUAACGUAGGGAAACUUACGCUAAUACCGCAUACGACCUACGGGUGAAAGCAGGGGAUCUUCGGACCUUGCGCGAUUGAAUGAGCCGAUGUCGGAUUAGCUAGUUGGCGGGGUAAAGGCCCACCAAGGCGACGAUCCGUAGCUGGUCUGAGAGGAUGAUCAGCCACACUGGAACUGAGACACGGUCCAGACUCCUACGGGAGGCGGCAGUGGGGAAUAUUGGACAAUGGGCGCAAGCAUGAUCCAGCCAUACCGAGUGGGUGAAGAAGGCCUUCGGGUUGUAAAGCCCUUUUGUUGGGAAAGAAAAGCAGCAGGUUAAUACCCCGCUGUUCUGACGGUACCAAAAGAAUAAGCACCGGCUAACUUCGUG
rnacentral:rRNA from 1 species